rnacentral:rRNA from 1 species
AAGACCUUGCGCUUUUGGAGCGGCCGAUGCCUGAUUAGCUUGUUGGUAAGGUAAAAGCUUACCAAGGCUUCGAUCAGUAGCUGGUCUGAGAGGACGACCAGCCACACUGGGACUGAGACACAGCCCAGACUCCUACGGGAGGCAGCAGUGGGGAAUUUUGGACAAUGGGGGCAACCCUGAUCCAGCCAUGCCGCGUGAGUGAAGAAGGCCUUCGGGUUGUAAAGCUCUUUCAGCCGGAACGAAACGGUUACGGUUAAUACCCAUGACUACUGACGGUACCGGAAGAAGAAGCACCGGCUAACUACGUGCCAGCAGCCGCGGUAAUACGUAGGGUGCGAGCGUUAAUCGGAAUUACUGGGCGUAAAGCGUGCGCAGGUGGUUUUGUAAGUCAGAUGUGAAAGCCCCGGGCUCAACCUGGGAACU